GUUAUACUCCCUCCGUCCCAAAAUUCUUGUCUUAAGUUUGUUUAAAAAUAAAUGUAUUUAAAUACUAAAAUGUGACUAGAUACAUUCAUUUCUACACAAAUCUAAGACGAGAAUUUUAAGACGGAGCGAGUAUAAA
rfam:Hordeum vulgare subsp. vulgare, WGS project CAJW01000000 data, contig: morex_contig_7457